rnacentral:rRNA from 1 species
AUACGGAGGAUGCAAGCGUUAUCCGGAUUUAUUGGGUUUAAAGGGUGCGUAGGCGGUUUGCUAAGCGGGAGGUGAAAUGCCGGCGCUCAACGUCGGAAGUGCCUCCCGAACUGGUGGACUUGAAUGACUCUGCCGUGGGAGGAAUGUGUAGUGUAGCGGUGAAAUGCGUAGAGAUUACACAGAACACCGAUUGCGAAGGCAUCUCACGAAGGGUUGAUUGACGCUGAGGCACGAAAGCGUGGGGAUCAAACAGGAUUAGAUACCCUGGUAGUCCACGCAGUAAACGAUGAUGGCUAACCGCUGGGCUUAUCAGUUCAGUGGCCAAGCGAAAGCGAUAAGCCAUCCACCUGGGGAGUACGACCGCAAGGUUGAAACUCAAAUGAAUUGACGGGG